rnacentral:rRNA from 1 species
AAAUUGAAGAGUUUGAUCAUGGCUCAGAUUGAACGCUGGCGGCAGGCCUAACACAUGCAAGUCGAACGGUAACAGGAAACAGCUUGCUGUUUCGCUGACGAGUGGCGGACGGGUGAGUAAUGUCUGGGAAACUGCCUGAUGGAGGGGGAUAACUACUGGAAACGGUAGCUAAUACCGCAUAAUGUCGCAAGACCAAAGAGGGGGACCUUCUGGCCUCUUGCCAUCGGAUGUGCCCAGAUGGGAUUAGCUUGUUGGUGGGGUAACGGCUCACC